rnacentral:rRNA from 1 species
GUGCCAGCCGCCGCGGUAAUACGAAGGGGGCUAGCGUUGUUCGGAAUCACUGGGCGUAAAGGGCGCGUAGGCGGCGCGACAAGUCAGAUGUGAAAGCCCCGGGCUCAACCCGGGAAUUGCAUUUGAUACUGUCGUGCUCGAGUCCGGGAGAGGAUGGCGGAAUUCCCAGUGUAGAGGUGAAAUUCGUAGAUAUUGGGAAGAACACCGGUGGCGAAGGCGGCCAUCUGGACCGGAACUGACGCUGAGGCGCGAAAGCGUGGGGAGCAAACAGGAUUAGAUACCCCGGUAGUCC